rnacentral:rRNA from 1 species
UGGGGAAUUUUGGACAAUGGGGGGAAACCCUGAUCCAGCCAUCCCGCGUGUGCGAUGAAGGCCUUCGGGUUGUAAAGCACUUUUGGCAGGAAAGAAACGUCGCGGGUUAAUACCCCGCGAAACUGACGGUACCUGCAGAAUAAGCACCGGCUAACUACGUGCCAGCAGCCGCGGUAAUACGUAGGGUGCAAGCGUUAAUCGGAAUUACUGGGCGUAAAGCGUGCGCAGGCGGCUCGGAAAGAAAGAUGUGAAAUCCCAGAGCUUAACUUUGGAACUGCAUUUUUAACUACCGGGCUAGAGUGUGUCAGAGGGAGGUGGAAUUCCGCGUGUAGCAGUGAAAUGCGUAGAUAUGCGGAGGAACACCGAUGGCGAAGGCAGCCUCCUGGGAUAACACUGACGCUCAUGCACGAAAGCGUGGGGGAGCAAACAGGAUUAGAUACCCUGGUAGUCCACGCCCUAAACGAUGUCAACUAGCUGUUGGGGCCUUCGGGCCUUGGUAGCGCAGCUAACGCGUGAAGUUGACCGCCUGGGGGAGUACGGUCGCAAGAUUAAAACUUAAAUGAAUUGAC